GACGAACGCUGGCGGCGUGCUUAACACAUGCCAGUCGAACGAAGAGCGAUGGAAGCUUGCUUCUAUCAAUCUUAGUGGCGAACGGGUGAGUAACGCGUAAUCAACCUGCCCUUCAGAGGGGGACAACAGUUGGAAACGACUGCUAAUACCGCAUACGAUCUAAUCUCGGCAUCGAGGAUAGAUGAAAGGUGGCCUCUACAUGUAAGCUAUCACUGAAGGAGGGGAUUGCGUCUGAUUAGCUAGUUGGAGGGGUAACGGCCCACCAAGGCGAUGAUCAGUAGCCGGUCUGAGAGGAUGAACGGCCACAUUGGGACUGAGACACGGCCCAGACUCCUACGGGAGGCAGCAGUGGGGAAUCUUCCGCAAUGGACGAAAGUCUGACGGAGCAACGCCGCGUGAGUGAUGACGGCCUUCGGGUUGUAAAGCUCUGUUAAUCGGGACGAAAGGCCUUCUUGCGAAUAGUGAGAAGGAUUGACGGUACCGGAAGAGAAAGCCACGGCUAACUACGUG
rnacentral:rRNA from 1 species